CCUACGGGAGGCAGCAGUGGGGAAUAUUGCGCAAUGGGCGAAAGCCUGAAGCAGCGACGCCGCGUGAGGGAUGAAGGUCCUCGGGUCGGAAACCUCCGUCAGCAGGGAAGAAAGGUCACUGUGCUAAGCAGCAGUGAAUUGACGGUACCUGCAAAGGAAGCACUAGCUAACUCCGUGCGAGCCGCUGCGGUAAUACGGAGGGUGCGAGCGUUAAUCGGAAUUACUGGGCGUAAAGCGCGCGUAGGCUGUCUGUCAAGUCAAGAGUGAAAUCCCCGCGCUCCACGUGGGAACGGCCGUUGAAACUGGCAGACUUGAGUUGGUGAGAGGCUAGUGGAAUUCCUGGUGUAGCGGUGAAAUCCGUAGAUAUCUGGAGGAAC
rnacentral:rRNA from 1 species